rnacentral:rRNA from 1 species
GACGAACGCUGGCGGCGUGCCUAAUACAUGCAAGUAGAACGCACAGUUUAUACCGUAGCUUGCUACACCAUAGACUGUGAGUUGCGAACGGGUGAGUAACGCGUAGGUAACCUGCCUGGUAGCGGGGGGUAACUAUUGGAAACGAUAGCUAAUACCGCAUAAUAUUGAUUAUUGCAUGAUAAUUGAUUGAAAGAUGCUAUUGCAUCACUACCAGAUGGACCUGCGUUGUAUUAGCUAGUAGGUGAGGUAACGGCUCACCUAGGCGACGAUACAUAGCCGACCUGAGAGGGUGAUCGGCCACACUGGGACUGAGACACGGCCCAGACUCCUACGGGAGGCAGCAGUAGGGAAUCUUCGGCAAUGGACGAAAGUCUGACCGAGCAACGCCGCGUGAGUGAAGAAGGUUUUCGGAUCGUAAAGCUCUGUUGUAAGAGAAGAACGGGUGUGAGAGUGGAAAGUUCACACUGUGACGGUAUCUGACCAGAAAGGGACGGCUAACUACGUG